rnacentral:misc_RNA from 1 species
GUGAAUCAUCGAAUCUUUGAACGCACAUUGCGCCCUUUGGUAUUCCGAGGGGCAUGCCUGUUCGAGCGUCAUUUCAACCCUCAAGCUCUGCUUGGUAUUGGGCCUCUGCCGUGCUGGCGGGCCUUAAAAUCAGUGGCGGUGCCGUCGGGGCUCUAAGCGUAGUACACUUCUCGCUCUGGAGGCCUGGCGGUGCUUGCCAGAUCACCUUUAUUAUCUAUGGUUGACCUCGGAUCAGGUAGGAAUACCCGCUGAACUUAAGCAUAUCAAUAAGCGGAGGA